rnacentral:lncRNA from 1 species
UGCCAUACUGCAGUUAUCUCCUUGCAGCGAUAGAAAUAUAUUUGCUCUUUAUUAUUUACAGUUUUUGGGUUCAAAAAUUUGUGAAAAAUGACUAUAGAGAAACAAAAAUCUAAGCAGCUAGCUACAUACUAAUGUUGUGCUUCUCCAGCUACUGUUGUCAUGCUUUUGCCUGACCCCUCUCUUCAAAGUUCAGAAAAUUCAGACUCCUCAGAUUCUUGCUCAAACAGGCUGGACCACACAUGAGGGCUAUUUCUGCGAGAUGAUUUUUAAAUGGUCGGGAAAUAUAAUUUUUCAUCUAUGUUUCACAUAAAACUACACUAUAAAUCAACCUCUACUACAUAUAUUUUUUCGCUAAAUUUCCUCAAAUUUUAUGAAUUCACCCCAAAUUUAUUGGGCCUACUGCGGUCGUGGCGUUACCACGACCCUGACGGAGGUCGCGGUUACUGCAGCUAGUGGUAAAGCUAGAGUAAAAUAUAUGGAUUCAAUAAAAUAUAAAAGUGAUGCACAUUGUUCAUCAAACUAAAUAAAUUCACUAAUAAUAUUAGAAAUUGGUUACUGACCUGUGAGUUGUCAGUAAAAGAUGAUUAGCAAUUCAGCAUACGCAUACAUAGGCAAAUGCCAUUCCAUCUCAAAAUCCUUGCUAGGAGAUCUUUAAAUGGUGACACCAAUUGCAAAGCAGUACUUGCACAGUUGCACGUGACUUGUGAGCACUGAGCAACGACAGAUCACAUGGAAACUAGCAGUCGAGCCUAUUCAAUUCAGGCCAAAAUCUAAACAAACCCUCGAAGAUACAGAAUUGCUUCGAGUAAAUUCUUGACGAAAAAAAAGGGAAAGGAGAACGCUAUAACGCCAAGAAACUGAACCUGAGAGAUGAGCUGCAGGAGGCCAUCGGGGAAGACGAACAUGCGGGAGGAAGUGACGAAGGUGAGGUCGCCGGCCGUGGACUUCUCGUCGCCACGCCGCCAGUGGCUUGAGCUGUUCCACGGAAAGAUAUACCAGGU